UGGGGAAUAUUGCACAAUGGGCGCAAGCCUGAUGCAGCCAUGCCGCGUGUAUGAAGAAGGCCUUCGGGUUGUAAAGUACUUUCAGCGGGGAGGAAGGUGUUGUGGUUAAUAACCACAGCAAUUGACGUUACCCGCAGAAGAAGCACCGGCUAACUCCGUGCCAGCAGCCGCGGUAAUACGGAGGGUGCACGCGUUAAUCGGAAUUACUGGGCGUAAAGCGCACGCAGGCGGUCUGUCAAGUCGGAUGUGAAAUCCCCGGGCUCAACCUGGGAACUGCAUUCGAAACUGGCAGGCUAGAGUCUUGUAGAGGGGGGUAGAAUUCCAGGUGUAGCGGUGAAAUGCGUAGAGAUCUGGAGGAAUACCGGUGGCGAAGGCGGCCCCCUGGACAAAGACUGACGCUCAGGUGCGAAAGCGUGGGGAGCAAACA
rnacentral:rRNA from 1 species